rnacentral:lncRNA from 1 species
CCCAAGUGCUGGCCUCAUGUACCAAAGUCAGUAGUGCUUCUGUAAGUUACUCAUGGGGGAAUAGGAACAACUGGAAAUGACUUAGAAAUACUGAAACUGUGUUCGGUCUUUUCCGACCUUCUUCACCUCUCCCGCCCCAUCCACUUCCCAAAAGCCCCAAAUUGUCUUCACCCACAUUCCUGUCGUUCAGACGUAAAAACUCAGCUGCUCCCUGAAAUAAUCAGGUAGUUUAGAACUGGUUCAUGAUACAGGUCUGGAUUAUCAAAAUUAAUCUUUAAAAAAAUAUCCAUCAUCCAAGGGAAUAAGAUCUGGUGACAGGUGCGGGCAGUCCAGCUCUGACUGUGCUCUUGCUCUUCGCAUGGUGAACCUCCCUGCUGCUGCUAUUCCUUCGGCAGCCAGACCUGCAACUGUGCCAGAUGCUGCCAACUCCUUUCUUCACGAGAUUGAUUUAAAAUAGAAAAAAUAGAACCCUCAGAACUUUGGAAACUGGAAUUACUGCAUUUAUUCAUCCUCCUUAAGAGGUGAAUGUUUUCACUCUGACAGUUUAAUUGACUGUUUAUAUUUGAUGUUUGAUUUUUUGGUAUCUAAUUAUAAUCAGUUUAUGGGCAAGUAAAACAUUAUAAAUAAUGACCCUAAUGUUUGGUUGAAAAUGUCUUGGAUUACAGUCAGAGUUUGAAACUACUCUUCUAGACGUAUGACUUGAUGAAGCUAUUAGAGCUGUGGCCUUUACAAAAUUUUUAACAAAACAGUGAAUCUCGUGUUACUGAUCUUUGUUAGGUAACUGGCUAAGUUUGUGGGAAACAACAUGACCCGUCACACAGAGCCUGAAGCCAGAGGGAGGAAAACCACAAGGAGGCUGAAAAAACAGCACAGAACCCAGAAACAGGGUGUAGAGGGGGCAGGAACCAACCAGCAUUGACUUGAAGGGAAGAUUAAAUUGGGAAGCAGAGCUUACACAGAGUCUAGAGAUGAGAGACAGCAAGCUGAAGUCUGCAUAAUGCAAAAUCUGGAAAUUAGGAACAGGUCAGAGGUCAAAAUCAGAUAGGAUUUUGAGAUCAGAGCCUGCACAAUGAACAAUACUUGAACUGUUCAAAUAACUCCUGCCUUCAGCAGGAAGUCCUUGCUCUUCUGAUUACUGCUAGACUGCUGCCUGCUGGAGGCUGAGACAAGUGCAGCUUGGUAGCUUAUCACACCUGGAGGGCCCAGAUUCAGGUAGAGUGCAGAAAAAGUCAGGGCCUGAGAAUGAGGAUGUUGAUUCAGACAGGUCACUAGUCAGCUUUUUUUUUUUUUUUUUUUUUUGGUCUUUUUUCUAGGGCUUCGCCCAGAGCACAUGGAAGUUCCCAGGCUAUAGGUCAAAUCAGAGCUGUAGCCGCCUGCCUAUACCACAGCCACAACAAUCUGGGAUCUGAGCGUCACCUGUGACCUACGCCACAGCUUGCAGUUACACCAGAUCUGUAAGCCACUGAGCGAGGUCGGGGAUCAAACCCAUAACCCCAUGGAAACUGGUUGGGUUCUUAACCUGCUGAGCCACAGUGGGAAUUCCUAAUCUAUCUUAGUUCAAAAUCUACAAAUUGAAAGAUAAGGGAAAAGACAGAAAGAGGAGAAAAGAAGGUCAGGCUCAACUUGAUUAUGGAAACAUUCAGGGGAUGGGUUAUUGGGGAACAGAAGCAUUUAAAAAACGGAAUUGAAGUUUUGAUUACUUGGCUUUUUCUCAUUAUCUGUCUCCUCCCUGCAAACGCCCCCACAAAAAGGUAAUUCCCACAGUUUAUUCUUACACAUAACAUUUAGAAGUUUAACACUGACAUUGAAAUUACUUCAUCAAUUUUUUUCUGAGAAUGACUCAAGAGAGUUCAGUUUCACAUCUCUUCUGAACUUCCAACAUUUACUCUGCAGCAUUUAUGUAGUGUUAAGAUCACACAACUUGUGUUGGUAUUUUGUGCAUUUUAUUUCCAGACAGGGUACAAAGCUUCAGAAGGCAGAAACUAUAUCUUUAGCUGUGGUGUGAAAUAAAAUAUACCAGACUUGGAACCAGAUGAACUGGGUUCUACAAACCAAGUUGUAUGGCCUUAACCAAAUCACUCGUCAACAGUGUUGCUACCCUGUAGACCUAGUUAGAUGAAUGGCCUUCAAGGACAUGGGGCAAGAUGAACUCAGAGCAUUCAAAGCCUAUGUUCCAUGAUUCUGCUUCAGUUACUAUGCCUGCCCUCUUACUUAUUUCCUUUGUUGGGCUUCUACAGACGAUUAACUUUCUUUUAAAAUCUUCCGGCUAUUAAAAGUUUUGAUUGAUAUGGCGUUGUCUCAUGUUGCUUCCAAACUUAAGAGUUUUAUGUCAUCUGCCAAACAUAGCUUUAGUGUCUUUCUUCGGACCUAGUUAGUAUCUCAUAAAUAUUUGUGGGGGGAGAAAAUGAAUGCUGUGACUCAAUCAUGCAAUGUUCAGAUGUUCACAAUUUCCAUAUGAAAAGUUUACUAUGGCUUAUAGUGAAUGACAUUUUUUACUUUGGAGGAGAACUCUUUUCAUCUCAGCUAGAAAUUCUUCUUGAACUUGAUCUCUGACUUAGGGAAAUAGAAGCAAACCUGAUGUGCACAUGCUUUGUGCAGAGAAUGAGCUGCUUUUAAGAGAAUAAUCCAACUGCUAUCUGAUCAGCCAUGUAGGACUGAUUCUGUGGAAAUGAAGAAGGCUUCCUUUUGCAGUGUGAGUCACACAUAUGAAGGCUUUGAUAAGAUUAAAAUAAUCCAAGGAAGCAAUUUCAAGAUGCACAGCUAGAAACAGGAACUAAGAAACAUCCAUGUCCCACAUGACACAGUCACUUAAUGUAAGAAUCAGGUUUUAAGGACCAUCUACAGAUAAUGUCAGAAUAUACAGAUAAAUACGGACAACUGUUGGUUGAGCUAGAAACACUGCUGGCUAAGUUAGAAAUCUUAUGAUGUGUAUCUUUGAAAUUGUCUCUUGCUGCUUUAUAUUCUUUUUUUAAAAAAAAGCCAGUUAUGCUGUCCCUCGGAAGUUGUGCUUUUGUGUGACUUUUGUCACUUUUGGUGCUCUCUUACCAAGCUUGUGGACCCAUUCCCAGUUCCUGUGAGUGUUAGUUGCUAAUGGCUCACAGCUCCCCUCUUCUCUUCAGAAUCACUUACAGCUUAAACUCAUUUGCAUUUCUCUGGGCUUUAUAUGCUCAUCUCCUGACUCUGUCCGCUUACAGGCAAUGACUGACUGACAGGGAGGUAGAAAAAUCCACUCUAUUUCAAGGUGAGGUCAACUCUGGGGUAGUUUAUGCUCCAGAGCUUAACCAUGGGAUCAGGCUGAAGUCAGACUCCAGCUGAGACCACACAGUCUUACCUUGCCUCUUUCCCUGCUUAGCCUGCAAUCCUUUCUUCUUUUCUCCUGAGAACAGUCCCUUCAGUCAUGUGCACCGAAUCUUUGUCUCAGGCUCUGUUUCUAGGGAGCCUAACCUAAGGCAGUGAUGCAUAGAUCUCCAGAGCAUAGCUCCUGUUAUGUCUUAUCUUUCAUCCUCAGUCUCCAGCAAAUCUGAAACAUGAUGCUCACAAGUAUUUUGAAGAGUGAGCAAAGUAAGAAACUGGACCUUCCGUUGACCAAGUCCUCACCAUGAAAUAUGGAUAACUGAAGUCAUGAGCAGUCUAGCACAAUUCUAACCUUACUUUGAAUUGGAAUUCUUAAUUCAUUAGAGAAUUAGGAAGUUUGCAGAACUGGGGAGCAGAAUUAAAACGGCAAAGUAGAAUCCAUCCUAACCUGCCAUUAGAAACCAUCAAAACGCCAUAUCAGUAGCAAAUGUUCUCACUUAUGGAAGUGCACAAGAAUAAUUAUUUAACAUAAUUAUGUCACACACCUACUCUCUGCCACAUU